UAACGCGUGGGAAUCUGCCCUGGAGUGGGGGAUAACCGAGGGAAACCUCGGCUAAUACCGCAUACGUCCCGAGGGAGAAAGAUUUAUCGCUCUAGGAGGGGCCCGCGUCGGAUUAGCUAGUUGGUGAGGUAACGGCCCACCAAGGCUAUGAUCCGUAGGUGGUCUGAGAGGAUGAUCACCCCCACUGGGACUGAGCCCCGGCCCAGACUCCUACGGGAGGCACCAGUGGGGAAUAUUGGCCAAUGGGCCCAACCCUGAUCCAGCAAUGCCGCGUGAGUGAUGAAGGCCUUAGGGUUGU
rnacentral:rRNA from 1 species